AUUGAACGCUGGCGGCAUGCUUUACACAUGCAAGUCGAACGGCAGCACGAAAGAGCUUGCUCUUUUGGUGGCGAGUGGCGAACGGGUGAGUAAUGCAUCGGAACGUACCGAGUAAUGGGGGAUAACUAUCCGAAAGGAUAGCUAAUACCGCAUACGCUUUGAGAAGGAAAGUGGGGGCUCUUCGGACCUCACGUUAUUCGAGCGGCCGAUGUCUGAUUAGCUAGUUGGUGGGGUAAAGGCCUACCAAGGCGACGAUCAGUAGCGGGUCUGAGAGGAUGAUCCGCCACACUGGGACUGAGACACGGCCCAGACUCCUACGGGAGGCAGCAGUGGGGAAUUUUGGACAAUGGGCGCAAGCCUGAUCCAGCCAUGCCGCGUGUCUGAAGAAGGCCUUCGGGUUGUAAAGGACUU
rnacentral:rRNA from 1 species